CUUACAUCAGUACUACUAUAAGCUAGAGGUGGAAUUUCCUGGGAUGUCAUGUGAUAUUGUGGUGGACCAUUACUUACAUCAGUACUACUAUAAGCUAGAGGUGGAAUUUCCUGGGAUGUCAUGUGAUAUUGUGGUGGAAUUUCCUGGGAUGUCAUGUGAUAUUGUGGUGGAAUUUCCUGGGAUGUCAUGUGAUAUUGUGGUGGAAUUUCCUGGGAUGUCAUGUGAUAUUGUGGUGGACCAUUA